rnacentral:rRNA from 1 species
UUAAGUGACGAUAGCCUAGGAGAUACACCUGUUCCCAUGCCUAACACAGAAGUUAAGCCCUAGUACGCCUGAUGUAGUUGGGGGUUGCCCCCUGUUAGAUACGGUAGUCGCUUAGC